GGGUUGUGAGGUUAAGCGACUAAGCGUACACGGUGGAUGCCCUGGCAGUCAGAGGCGAUGAAGGACGUGCUAAUCUGCGAUAAGCGUCGGUAAGGUGAUAUGAACCGUUAUAACCGGCGAUUUCCGAAUGGGGAAACCCAGUGUGAUUCGUCACACUAUCAUUAACUGAAUCCAUAGGUUAAUGAGGCGAACCGGGGGAACUGAAACAUCUAAGUACCCCGAGGAAAAGAAAUCAACCGAGAUUCCCCCAGUAGCGGCGAGCGAACGGGGAGGAGCCCAGAGCCUGAAUCAGUGUGUGUGUUAGUGGAAGCGUCUGGAAAGGCGCGCGAUACAGGGUGACAGCCCCGUACACAAAAAUGCACAUGCUGUGAGCUCGAUGAGUAGGGCGGGACACGUGGUAUCCUGUCUGAAUAUGGGGGGACCAUCCUCCAAGGCUAAAUACUCCUGACUGACCGAUAGUGAACCAGUACCGUGAGGGAAAGGCGAAAAGAACCCCGGCGAGGGGAGUGAAAAAGAACCUGAAACCGUGUACGUACAAGCAGUGGGAGCACAGAGCAAUCUGUGUGACUGCGUACCUUUUGUAUAAUGGGUCAGCGACUUAUAUUCUGUAGCAAGGUUAACCGAAUAGGGGAGCCGAAGGGAAACCGAGUCUUAACUGGGCGUUAAGUUGCAGGGUAUAGACCCGAAA
rnacentral:rRNA from 1 species